rnacentral:rRNA from 1 species
AUUGAACGCUGGCGGCAGGCCUAACACAUGCAAGUCGAACGAGUGGCGGACGGGUGAGUAAUGUCUGGGAAACUGCCCGAUGGAGGGGGAUAACUACUGGAAACGGUAGCUAAUACCGCAUACCAUCGGAUGUGCCCAGAUGGGAUUAGCUAGUAGGUGGGGUAACGGCGCACCUAGGCGACGAUCCCUAGCUGGUCUGAGCGGAUGACCAGCCACACUGGAACUGAGACACGGUCCAGACUCCUACGGGAGGCAGCAGUGGGGAAUCUUGCUCAAGGGGCGCAAGCCUGACGGAGCAACGCCGCGUGUGUGAAGAAGGUUUUCGGAUCGUAAAGCUCUUUCUGAAGGGAGGCGGUAUCUUACCAGAAAGCAACGGCUAACUACGUGCCAGCAGCCGCGGUAAUAC